rnacentral:rRNA from 1 species
UACAGAGACCUCAAACGUUAUCCGGAUUUAUUGGGCGUAAAGCGUACGCAGGUGGUUUUUCAAGUUAGUGGUCAAAUCCCGGGGCUUAACUUCGGGGCUGCUAUUAAUACUGAAAAACUAGAGGUUGGAAGAGGCAAGCGGAACUGCCGGUGUAGUCGUAAUAAGCGCUGAUAUCGGCAGGAACACCAAAGGCGAAGGCAGCUUGCUAGGACAAACCUGACACUCAUGUACUAAAGCGUGGGUAG